CCAACUUUAAAGAUAGCUGACAAACUAUCUGAAACAGUAAUAUCAGAGAAACAAUCAACUCUCUCUUUCAAUUCCCAAAUUACAUUUCCAGACCUUAUAUCCCACAAUUUCACAUUUCCCAACAUACCAGAGGGUCCGCUAUGAGAACCAGAUGCCAUUACCACAUUAUAACUCUCUACCCACUUCAAUUUUGUGGCUGGAAUGGCUGAGUCAAGAUCUGCACCGUAUAUCUCGCAGUGAGCAAUCUCGGUUACUGGCGAAAAUGAUUGCAAAUCGUAAACCAUGAUCGAGUUAGAGUUCCUGCGACCUGACUCAAAACUUGUGAACAAGAAAUCUGGAGACGAUCCAAUUGCCUGAACUGUGGAGCUCGAUUGGGUCACGUUUUCCCAACACAAAGUUUCCCUUACAAAACCCUUUUCCAGAUCGAGAAUUUGCAUUCCCGAGAAAUCGGUGGCUCCCAUGGCAGCAAAAUAACGUCUUUCGAUUG
rnacentral:misc_RNA from 1 species